UUACAAGUACAUGUACUGAAGAGAAGAGAUAUAUAAAGAGUUGGCUUGCACUCGCCACAAGCUACAUCAGAGUCACAUCAGUACAUUACAUAAGCAUCAAGAGUAAGAGCAGGGUCCGACUACGGACGAAAACAAACGAGAAAAUAAGAACGACGUCCAUCCUUGCUAUCCCAGGCUGCCGGCCUGGAACCCAUCCUAGAUCGAUAAAGAAGAAGGAGAAGAAGCAACUCCAAAUGAACAAUCAACGCACUCUCAUCAAGUAAUCUUUACCUGUACCUGCAACUGGUGUUGUAGUAAUCUGUGAGCCACAGGGGACUCAACAAUCUCAUUUCCAAAGUUAUCAAGACUAGCAAAACUUAAUGGGUGAGGUAUGGUUAUGUGAUGAGGUUGCAGCAGCGGCUAAGCAUAUAUUUGGUGGCUAACUUACGAGUACAAGAAACAAGAGGGGGGAGAUCUACGCAUAACGGACAUGAACUACUGAUGAUCAAAUGAAUGAUCCUGAACACCUACCUACGUCACACAUAACCCCACCGUGUCCUCGAUCGGAGAAGGAACUCACGAAAGAGACAGUCAUGGUUACGCACGCGGUUGGCAUAUUUUAGUUAAGUUAACUUCAAGUUAUCUAGAACCAGAGUUAAACAAAGUUUCCACGUUGCCACAUAACCGCGGGCACGGCUUUCUGAAAAGAUUUAACCCUGCAGGGGUGCUCCAACUAGUCCAUCACAAAUUACCACAAGCCGCAUAGAAAUCCUCAAUCACGAAGCUCGCGAUCUCGUCGGAUUCCCUAGUGGAAAACCUCAACUCUGAGAUUACCCAAAGCAUCACCGGAAUCCCGAUGUACAAGAUAUCUCGUCAAAGGUAAAACUAAUCCAGCAAGGCCGCCUGACGUGUCGACAAUCCCGAUAGGAGUCGCGUACCUCGUUCUCAAGACACGACGGAUGAGCGAUGGUUACCACGCCAAACGCCGAGUUGCCCCGGGUAGCGUUAAUAAGCUGCUCUGUUUUGGACCAACACUCAUGGGGAGCACUGGCCCGGGGGUUGAUUAAAUUAUUCUCGGGGCCCGGGAAGUCCCUAUGCAAUUUUAUUAGGUGAUUAGGCAAAUGUAGUACCAAUGUUGGGCCUUGCCAGACCAGCUUUAAUCUAAAACGAAUUAUCAAGGGGGUCCCCAUAACAACCUCGAUCAUGUUAGGAGCGCUCGUUUAUGGAACAUAACACCGGUAGCCGGAAACUAAGGGGGCAAAGGUGGAACAAAACACCAGGCUAGAAAGGCCGAGCCUUCCACCUUUUACCAAGUAUAUAGGUGCAUUAAAUUAAAUAGCAUUUAAUAUGGUGAUAUAACAAGGAACCCAUGCUUUCACAUGGAAGCAUCUACACCUGCAACUAGCAACGCUAUCAACAGGGUUAAGCAAGCAGUAACAUAGCCAAUCAGUGGUUUGCUAGGUUGAACAGGUUGAAGGUAAUCAUGGCAUUGUUGAGAUGCUGAUAUUUAACAGGUGGUAGGCAACGAGACAUAAGCGAUAGCAUCGAAAUAACUAGCAUGGUAAUGAUAGUAAUGGUAGCUGGGGAAAUGAUCAUCUUGCCUGAGAUCCCGCUUGAAAGAAGAAUGCCUCCGUGAAGCAGACGAACCGACGUAGUCGAACGGUCCUCACAUUCCGACACGCUGCGGAACUCUAUCGAGACGAAGCAAACCGGAAACACAAAUCAACACACGGAAUUCACCACACGAUGCAAGGCACAUAUGAUGCAUGAGCAGCUGAAUACAUGCAAGACACGGCAUGACACUUCACACAAUCAAACACUACACAUUAAGUGAAGUUCAAUAUGCAACGGGUUGCAUAUUGACGAAACUCCACAUAGGAACUAUUUAGUUCACUCCCGGUUUUCUACACGGCAAUAUUAAUGUUGUCAAACAUGCAAGAGGUGAAGCGGAAAAUAAAGUACUUAUCUAGGCAUUUUAAAUGAGGUCGGAAAUGACAUAUAGCAUCUCCGAAAUGACCCCACAUGUUAAAACUUAAUUCUUUCCAGAUUUGUCCUAAUCAUAUCUUAGGUUUGUUAAAUGGAAAUACAAAGUGGUUCACGUGAUUCUACUCGUCGUUCUGCUCCAUUUACAUAUAUGGCACACCUCCAACGGAGCUACGGACACAUAGUUACGACCUAAACCGUUUUCAACACGUCGACACGCAAACCGAAGCAAACAGCACACUAAACAGUUCUAAUUAUGUAUGAGAGUUGGAAAUUGUUAAUCUACGCGAAAUUCUAGUCAAGUUACAUAUUUAAAUCACUCCGAUCCGGUGCACGGUUAAGAAACUACGAGCGUUUGAAAAACAAUGCUUUUUCUGAAGAAAAAAAAUAAAGAAAAAUUACACGCGCUAAAAAAAACCACUAGGCCGAAUCUAUGCAAAAGGCCCAUGUACUUGGGUGUGUGGCUGUGCAAACAAAUAAAAUCACCCCGUAAUUUGGCUCCACUAGGAGUCGAACCCAGGAACUGCUGGUUGCAAUUCGACCGCACCAACCAGUCGGGCUACGAAGCGCUUGUGACAAUAAACGGUUUUUGCUGCAGAUAAGCUUUACCUUGUCGAUGCCUGAACCUGAAUCGGGAUACAGAGAUAUUUCUUCUGUUCCCCUGGCUGAGAACGCAGGUUGCAGGGCGGCGGCGUGGCUUGCUGCCGGCGGCUCUCCGGCGCUGAUCCUACGGGGGAGCGAUGGGGCGACCAAGCAGCGGAUCUGGGCGAGGGGAUCCCAUUCCCACCAACAGACGAGGCCCCGGGCAAGGUUGGGCAUAGGGGAGGCAUCGCUGAGCUCGGGACGCCAUGGCUCCUUCUGCACAGAGAAAGAAAAACGAGGAAGAGAGAGAUUUGAGAGAGGUACGAUGUGAAACAGAAGGAGGAGGAGAGAGCGGAAGAGGAAGGAGAGGGAGCGAGGGGUCUGGCCUGGGACGCGGCGAGGAGUUCCUGCUGUAGGUGGUCACCGGUGUCGAGUGCUCCAGCGAGGGGGCAUCCACCUCUGGGCACGAGGUGCAGGAGCUACCUCGGGGGGGGGGGGCUGGCUGCGGGGCGAUGGCCAGCUGGUCGGGAGCGGGACUCCGACGGCUGCUGUGUACCCGAUGGCUAGCUCGCGAGGUCGCCGACAGGGUCGCGCUGGAGGCCGGGGUAGCAGGGUGCAGCGGGAGCUGCUGCCGUUGGUCGCCGGCUCGGGCAGAGGAGCUUGCCUGCUCGCGCUAGGGGAGAAACAGAGGAGGUCGUGGGACUCGAUCUCCUCGUGGUCGUCCAUGGAACAGGGAGAUGGAUGCCUCGAUCCAUUCGGGAUCGAGCAGGAGGCGAGAGACUGCGGGGAUUGGUCGGGCACAGAUACAAAGGAGGUGGGUGGCGGCGCGAGGAGGAUUGGAUGGGACAGACCGCUAGGUUCUAGGGUUGGAUGCUUAAAUAAUUAAG
rnacentral:lncRNA from 1 species